rnacentral:rRNA from 1 species
UACAGAGGUCUCAAGCGUUGUUCGGAUUCAUUGGGCGUAAAGGGUGCGUAGGCGGCGUGGUAAGUCGGGUGUGAAAUCUCGGAGCUUAACUCCGAAACUGCAUUCGAUACUGCCGUGCUUGAGGACUGGAGAGGAGACUGGAAUUUACGGUGUAGCGGUGAAAUGCGUAGAUAUCGUAAGGAAGACCAGUGGCGAAGGCGGCUUCCUGGCCUGUUCUUGACGCUGAGGCGCGAAAGCUAGGGGAGCAAACGGG